rnacentral:rRNA from 1 species
AUUGAACGCUGGCGGAAUGCUUUACACAUGCAAGUCGAACGGCAGCACGGACUUCGGUCUGGUGGCGAGUGGCGAACGGGUGAGUAAUGUAUCGGAACGUGCCCAGCCGUGGGGGAUAACGUAGUGAAAACUACGCUAAUACCGCAUACGAUCUAAGGAUGAAAGCGGGGGAUCGCAAGACCUCGCGCGAUUGGAGCGGCCGAUGGCAGAUUAGGUAGUUGGUAGGGUAAAGGCCUACCAAGCCGACGAUCUGUAGCUGGUCUGAGAGGAUGAUCAGCCACACUGGGACUGAGACACGGCCCAGACUCCUACGGGAGGCAGCAGUGGGGAAUUUUGGACAAUGGACGCAAGUCUGAUCCAGCCAUUCCGCGUGCAGGAUGAAGGCCCUCGGGUUGUAAACUGCUUUUGCACAGAACGAAAAGGCUCUGGUUAAUACCUAGGGCUCAUGACGGUACUGUAAGAAUAAGCACCGGCUAACUACGUGCCAGCAGCCGCGGUAA